UAUAUAUAUAUAUUUAUUAUGUCUAGGAAUAUUAUUAUUUGUUUAUGAAUUAAUGAAUUUACAUGCACAUUGCAUAGUCCAAUACUUUUUUGUAUUUGUACUGAACCAUUUGAUCGUUUAGUGCAUAUAUUAAUGUUGUGCUUUCUAGGCGUUGCCUCACUUAAUAUUCAUAUUAGUGGUGGCGGCAAGAGUAUCAAACAAGUCUCUCAAAAUUUAAUACUUUAAGAAUCAUAAUAUUUAUAAGUACAAUAUCCAAUUUCCUGCACAUAGUAUAGUCAAAUACAUAUGUAUUUGUACUAAGUAUUUUGAUCGUUUAGUGCAUAUAUAAAUUUUGUGCUUUCUAGGCGUUGCCUCACUUAAUUUUCAUAUUAGUGGUGGCGGCAAGAGUAUCAAACAUUCAUUAAUUAAAAAAUUUAUUUGUUACUUGAAUUAACUUAAUAAACGGAUUAUACAAAUGUAAUUUAAACUUAUUUUAGGCCAUUUGGUACAAGAAGUACCUGAAUUUCCAUUAGUUGUGUCUGACAAGAUCCAAGAAUACACUAAAACCAAGCAAGCUACAAUCUUCUUACACCGUAUCAAAGCAUGGAAAGAUAUCCAAAAGGUUAUCAAGUCUCGCCGUUUACGUGCAGGUAAAGGAAAAAUGCGUAAUCGUCGUCAUGUUCAGCGUAGAGGUCCAUUAAUUGUUUACAGUAAAGAUCAAGUAAG